rnacentral:misc_RNA from 1 species
GAUGAAGAACGUAGUGAAAUGCGAUAAGUAGUGUGAAUUGCAGAAUUCAGUGAAUCAUCGAAUCUUUGAACGCACAUUGCGCCCCUUGGUAUCCCGAGGGGCAUGCCUGUUCGAGCGUCAUUUCACCACUCAAGCCUGGCUUGGUGUUGGGCGACGUCCCCUUUAGGGACGCGCCUCGAAACGCUCGGCGGCGCGACACCGGCUUUAAGCGUAGCAGAAUCUUUCGCUUUGGAAGUCGGGGCCCCGCCUGCCGGAAUACCUACUUGUAAGGUUGACCUCGGAUCAGGCAGGGAUACCCGCUGAACUUAAGCAUAUCAAUAAGCGGAGGA